GGCGCCGUGGCCAAGUGGUAAGGCAGAGGACUGCAAAUCCUUUAUCCCCAGUUCGAAUCUGGGCGGCGCCU
rnacentral:tRNA from 1 species